rnacentral:rRNA from 1 species
GACGAACGCUGGCGGCGUGCUUAACACAUGCAAGUCGAACGGAAAGGCCCUGCUUUUGUGGGGUGCUCGAGUGGCGAACGGGUGAGUAACACGUGAGUAACCUGCCCUUGACUUUGGGAUAACUUCAGGAAACUGGGGCUAAUACCGGAUAGGAGCUCCUGCUGCAUGGUGGGGGUUGGAAAGUUUCGGCGGUUGGGGAUGGACUCGCGGCUUAUCAGCUUGUUGGUGGGGUAGUGGCUUACCAAGGCUUUGACGGGUAGCCGGCCUGAGAGGGUGACCGGCCACAUUGGGACUGAGAUACGGCCCAGACUCCUGCGGGAGGCAGCAGGGGGGAAUAUUGCACAAUGGGCGGAAGCCUGAUGCAGCAACGGCGCGGGCGGGAUGACGGCCUUCGGGUUGUAAACCGCUUUCGCCUGUGACGAAGCGUGAGUGACGGUAAUGGGUAAAGAAGCACCGGCUAACUACGUG